GGCAAGCUCACUGCUAAAGUGAAUAUCGCUUUAGCGCAGUCUUAUAUGUUGCAGUGGAAUGUCAGUCCCUUAGAGAGUAUCUUCUUAUCAGUAUUCGACCAAUUAAGCGGUCAAGUGUCCACUUAAGUAGCACCUAGAAGCCAUUAAAUUCUUGUAAUGACCCCAAUUCUGAACCCCGGAUGCUACACAAUGCUCAUAAUCCCGAUGAACUAUAAGCUAACCCAUGAAUGGUACCUGCUGCAAUAACUUAAUAAUAAUACUGUAUAAUGCAGAAAUUUUGUAGAAACUUGCCAUAAGGUUGAAAACUAAAAUACAACUGUGUAAGGUAUAACAAUACAAAAAUAAAACAAUUAUCUUAAAAUACUCUAGUCUGAAAAGCC
rnacentral:lncRNA from 1 species